UGAGCCCAUAUUGUGUUUAUUCUUAAGUGCUUUGUAUUUGUUCUAUGAUAGUUUGUAAUUAUUCCAAAUAAAGUUAUUGUUUAUCCUCCAUAUUUGUUCUUUAUCAUAGAUAAGGCCUGAUGUGAUUAAAGGUUGGGGGUAAAGUUUAUUUUUAUUUCUGCGGUGUUUCUACUUAUCAUGCAGAUUAUAUAUUUAUUUUUUAGAGUUUUUAUUUAUUCUAG
rnacentral:lncRNA from 1 species